UAACCCCCCUUUAUUAUGGACCCCCAGAGCAACAUGGACCCCUCCGCCCCCCUUCAAUAUACCAGACUCCAACCUGCAGCACCACUUUGUCCUGCUUCUCCUUAUUGGACCCAACAUGCGGCUGCAGCGCUUCGCGGAGCUGCUCAACUGCCAGCACAGCAAGAACACAUGAGACCUAUGGGGUCUAUGGGGUGCUAUGGGGUCCCAUGGGGUCCUAUGGGGUCCUGUGGGGUCCUGUAGGGUCCUAUAGGGUUCUAUGGGGUCCCUAUGGGGUCCUAUAAGGUUUAUGGACCCAACACUGCUCCUAUGGGGUCCCGUGGGGUCCUAUGGGGUCCUAUAGGGUUCUAUGGCUUCCUGUGGGGUCCCUGUGGGGUCCUAUGGGGUCCUGUGGGGUCCUGUGGGGUCCUAUGGGGUCCUAUGGGGGACCUAUAGGGUUCUGUGGGGGGCUAUGGGGUCCUAUAGGGUUCUAUGGGGUUCUAUGGGGUCCUAUAGGGUCCUAUGGGGUCCUGUGGGGUUCUAUAGGGUCCUGUGGGGACCUAUGGGGUUCUAUAGGGUCCCAUGGGGUCCCUAUGGGGUUUAUAUGGGACCAGGGGUGAUGAUGUGGACCCAACAUGCGGCUGCAGCGCUUCGCGGAGCUGCUCAACUGCCAGCACAGCAAGCACAGCUGAGACCUAUGGGGACCAAGGGUACGUAUAUAGGACCAGGAGCAUCUAUAUGGGACCAGCAGCAUCUAUAUGGGACCAAAUGCAUCUAUAUGGGACCAGAACAGCAUCUAUAUGGGACCAGGAGCAUCUAUAUGGGACCAAGGACACAUCCCUAUAGGACCAGGAGCAUCCCAUGGAGCCAUAAACAUCGAUAUAGGGCCGAGAGCAUCUCUAUGGGGCUGGGACCUGUCCUAUAGGGCCAGGAUCACUCCUAUGGGGCCGGGAGCAACCCUAUGGGGCCAGGAGGACCUUAUGGGGCCAGCACUACUCCUAUGGGGCCGGGAUGACCCUAUAGGGCUGGGACCACUCCUAUGGGGCCAGGAGAACGCUAUGGGGCCAGCACUACUCCUAUGGGGCCGGGAUGACCCUAUAUGGCUGGGACCACUCCUAUGGGGCCAGAAAGACCCUAUGGAACCAGGACCACUCCUAUGGGGCUGGGAGGACCCUAUAGGGCCAAGACCACUCCAAUGGGGCCAGCAAUACCCCUAUAGGACACGGGGCACCCUAUAGGGCCGCCAACCCCCCCCUUUACCCCCCACACAUACGGUC
rnacentral:lncRNA from 1 species